AGAGCGAACGCUGGCGGCAGGCUUAACACAUGCAAGUCGAGCGCCCCGCAAGGGGAGCGGCAGACGGGAGAGUAACACGUGGGAACGUACCUUUCGGUUCGGAACAACCCAGGGAAACUUGGGGCUAAUACCGGAUACGCCCGCAAGGGGAAAGAUUUAUCGCCGGAAGAUCGGGCCCGCGUCUGAUUAGCUAGUUGGUGAGGUAACGGCUCACCAAGGCGACGAUCAGUAGCUGGUCUGAGAGGAUGAUCAGCCUCACUGGGACUGAGACACGGCCCAGACUCCUACGGGAGGCAGCAGUGGGGAAUAUUGGACAAUGGGCGCAAGCCUGAUCCAGCCAUGCCGCGUGGGUGAUGAAGGCCCUAGGGUUGUAAAGCCCUUUCGGCGGGGAAGAUAAUGACGGUACCCGCAGAAGAAGCCCCGGCUAACUUCGUGCCAGCAGCCGC
rnacentral:rRNA from 1 species